CCGAGUUCGCGCCCGUCAGGGUCGACCUCCCACCCUUGUGUAUCAUUACCUCGUUGCUUUGGCGAGCCCUUGUAAACGUUCGCCGGAGGAUGACCAAACUCUUGUAUUUAGCAUCGUCCGAGCACUAUAAAAUAGUUA
rnacentral:misc_RNA from 1 species